rnacentral:rRNA from 1 species
UACGAAGGGGGCUAGCGUUGCUCGGAAUGACUGGGCGUAAAGGGCGCGUAGGCGGUGGCCAAAGUCAGGCGUGAAAUUCCUGGGCUCAACCUGGGGGCUGCGCUUGAUACUUGGUUGCUUGAGUGGGGAAGAGGGUCGUGGAAUUCCCAGUGUAGAGGUGAAAUUCGUAGAUAUUGGGAAGAACACCGGUGGCGAAGGCGGCGACCUGGUCCUUGACUGACGCUGAGGCGCGAAAGCGUGGGGAGCAAACAGG